rnacentral:rRNA from 1 species
UACAGAGGUCUCAAGCGUUGUUCGGAAUCAUUGGGCGUAAAGGGCGCGUAGGCGGCCGAUCAAGUCGGAGGUGAAAUCCCUCGGCUCAACUGAGGAAUUGCCUUCGAUACUGUUCGGCUUGAGUCCUGGAGAGGGUAGCGGAAUUCCCGGUGUAGCGGUGAAAUGCGUAGAGACCGGGAAGAACACCAGUGGCGAAGGCGGCUACCUGGACAGGUACUGACGCUGAAGCGCGAAAGCUAGGGGAGCAAACAGG